AAGACUAUAGACCUGCGGAGUACCUGCGGAGGGAUCAUUAAUGAAUUUUAGGACGUUCUUUUUAGAAGUCCGACCAUUUCAUUUUCUUACACUGUGCACACACUUCUUUUUACACACACUUUUAACACAUUAGUAUAAGAAUGUAAUAGUCUCUUAAUUGAGCAUAAACAAAAAUAAAACUUUCAGCAAUGGAUCUCU
rnacentral:misc_RNA from 1 species